AUCUAACUGACGGGUCUCAAAUAAUAUGAAACACGUGUCCUGGAU
rnacentral:hammerhead_ribozyme from 1 species